rnacentral:rRNA from 1 species
AGUGAACGCUGGCGGUAGGCCUAACACAUGCAAGUCGAACGGCAGCACAGGAGAGCUUGCUCUCUGGGUGGCGAGUGGCGGGCGGGUGAGGAAUACAUCGGAAUCUACUCUGUCGUGGGGGAUAACGUAGGGAAACUUACGCUAAUACCGCAUACGACCUACGGGUGAAAGCAGGGGACCUUCGGGCCUUGCGCGAUUGAAUGAGCCGAUGUCGGAUUAGCUAGUUGGCGGGGUAAAGGCCCACCAAGGCGACGAUCCGUAGCCGGUCUGAGAGGAUGAUCAGCCACACUGGACCUGAGACACGGUCCAGACUCCUACGGGAGGCAGCAGUGGGGAAUAUUGGACAAUGGGCGCAAGCCUGAUCCAGCCAUACCGCGUGGGUGAAGAAGGCCUUCGGGUUGUAAAGCCCUUUUGUUGGGAAAGAAAUCCAGCUGGCUAAUACCCGGUUGGGAUGACGGUACCCAAAGAAUAAGCACCGGCUAACUUCGUGCCAGCCGCCGCCGUAA